AACGGGCUCGGAAAAAUCAGCGGGGAAAGAAGACCCUUUUGAGUUUGACUCUAGUCUGACUUGUCAAGAGACAUGAAAGGUGUAGCAUAAGUGGGAGGCCUUUGCGGGCCAACAGUGAAAUACCACUACUCUCAUCGUUUCUUUACUUACUCGAUGAGGCGGAGUGCGAUCCUUAUCGGGGUCACCCUACUGGCUCAAAGCGGUUGGGGCAUCUAUCAGGUGCUCUACGUGAUCCGAUUCGAGGACAGUGUCAGGUGGGGAGUUUGACUGGGGCGGUACAUCUGUCAAAUACUAACGCAGGUGUCCUAAGGUUGGCUCCGUCAGGACAGAAACCUGGCUUAGAGCAAAAGGGCAAAAGCCAGCUUGAAAUUAAUUUUCAGUACGAAUGAAUUCCGCGAAAGCGCGGCCUAUCGAUCCUUUUGACCCUCGAGUUUAGGGCACAAGGUGUCAGAAAAAUUACCACAGGGAUAACUGGCU
rnacentral:rRNA from 1 species